rnacentral:sRNA from 1 species
AGCAACACGAUGGGGCGAUAGCCCGCGGGUGAA